AAUAGAUACCCAGGUAGUCCACGCCGUAAACGAUGGAUACUAGCUGUUCGGGAUUACCUGAGUGGCUAAGCGAAAGUGAUAAGUAUCCCACCUGGGGAGUACGGGCGCAAGCCUGAAACUCAAAGGAAUUGACGGGGGCCCGCACAAGCGGUGGAGCAUGUGGUUUAAUUCGAUGAUACGCGAGGAACCUUACCAGGGCUUAAAUGUAGGUUGCAUGAUCCAGAGAUGUGUCUUUCUUCGGACCACCUACAAGGUGCUGCAUGGUUGUCGUCAACUCGUGCCGUGAGGUGUCAGGUUAAGUCCUAUAACGAGCGCAACCCCUAUUGUUAGUUGCCAGCGAGUCAUGUCGGGAACUCUAGCAAGACUGCCGGUGCAAACCGUGAGGAAGGUGGGGAGUGACGUCAAAUCAUCACGGCCCUUACGUCCUGGGCUACACACGUGCUACAAUGGUGGGGACAGAGAGCAGCCACUGGGCGACCAGGAGCGAAUCUAUAAACCCCAUCACAGUUCGGAUCGGAGU
rnacentral:rRNA from 1 species